rnacentral:rRNA from 1 species
GAUGAACGCUGGCGGCGUGCUUAACACAUGCAAGUCGAACGAAGCGCUUUGGAUGGAUCCUUCGGGUGACGGAAGAAGUGACUUAGUGGCGGACGGGUGAGUAACGCGUGGGUAACCUGCCUCACACAGGGGGAUAACAGUUAGAAAUGACUGCUAAUACCGCAUAAUGUCAUUUAAGGGCAUCCUUGGAUGACCAAAGCUUAAUGUGCUGAAAGAUGGUCUCGCGUCUGAUUAGCUGGUUGGUGAGGUAACGGCUCACCAAGGCGACGAUCAGUAGCCGGUCUGAGAGGAUGAACGGCCACAUUGGGACUGAGAUACGGCCCAG